rnacentral:rRNA from 1 species
AGAGUUGAUCAUGGCUCAGGACGAACGCUGGCGGCGUGCUUAACACAUGCAAGUCGAACGGGGAUAACGGAGAGGAGAGCUUCGGCAGGAAUCGCUGUUAUUCGAGUGGCGGACGGGUGAGUAACGCGUGAGCAACCUGUCCCAGACAGGGGGAUAACACUUGGAAACAGGUGCUAAUACCGCAUAAGACCACGGGAUCGCAUGGUUCUGGGGUAAAAGGAGAAAUCCGGUUUGGGGUGGGCUCGCGUCCGAUUAGCCAGUUGGCGGGGUAACGGCCCACCAAAGCGACGAUCGGUAGCCGACCUGAGAGGGUGAUCGGCCACAUUGGAACUGAGAGACGGUCCAAACUCCUACGGGAGGCAGCAGUGGGGAAUAUUGGGCAAUGGGCGAAAGCCUGACCCAAGCAACGCCGCGUGAGUGAAGAAGGCCUUCGGGUUGUAAAGCUCUGUUAUAGUUGACGAAGUGCGUGACGGUAGGCUAUAAGGAAGCCCCGGCUAACUACGUGCCAGCCGCUGC